GCAAUGAUGGUGUGGUGGUAGCAUGUCCAGCUAAACAUUUGCCUUCACGAAUAACCCUGGUUCGAUUCCGAGUCAUUGUG